rnacentral:rRNA from 1 species
GACGAACUGUGCAAACGUUAUUCGGAAUCACUGGGCUUGAAGAGUGCGUAGGCGGUUUCGUAAGUAGGGUGUGAAAGCCCCCAGCUCAACUGGGGAACUGCGUCCUAAACUGCGAGGCUGGAGUGAGGUAGGGGUGUGUGGAACUUCCGGUGGAGCGGUGAAAUGUGUUGAUAUCGGAAGGAACGCCGGUGGCGAAAGCGACACACUGGGCCUUGGCUGACGCUGAGGCACGAAAGCCAGGGGAGCAAACGGG